AGCUUCCGGGUGCUUACCACAGGCUGUAUUCUUACACUGACUGUACAGAAAGAAGGGGCAGAGUAAGCCAAUCCAUGUACACCUCAGCUCAGGCCCUGUGCCUGGUCUGUACUGUGAAUGAGGAGGCAUGG